rnacentral:rRNA from 1 species
AUGGCUCAGAUUGAACGCUGGCGGAAUGCUUUACACAUGCAAGUCGAACGGCAGCACGGACUUCGGUCUGGUGGCGAGUGGCGAACGGGUGAGUAACAUAUCGGAACGUAUCCAAUAAUGGGGGAUAACUAAUCGAAAGGUUGGCUAAUACCGCAUACGCCCUGAGGGGGAAAGCUAGGGAUCUUCGGACCUGGCGUUAAUGGAGCGGCCGAUAUCUGAUUAGCUAGUUGGUGAGGUAAAGGCUCACCAAGGCGACGAUCAGUAGCUGGUCUGAGAGGACGACCAGCCACACUGGAACUGAGACACGGUCCAGACUCCUACGGGAGGCAGCAGUGGGGAAUUUUGGACAAUGGGCGCAAGCCUGAUCCAGCCAUUCCGCGUGAGUGAAGAAGGCCUUCGGGUUGUAAAGCUCUUUCGCAAGGGAAGAAAACUUAUCCUCUAACAUAGGAUGAGGUUGACGGUACCUUGAUAAGAAGCACCGGCUAACUACGUGCCAGCAGCCGCGGUAAUACGUAGGGUGCGAGCGUUAAUCGGAAUUACUGGGCG